CCUCAGAAGAAGCCACCACUACCUAGAUCUUGGACUUCCAGCCCCCAGGAUUGUGAGAAAGUAAAUGUCUGCUGUUUAAGCCACCCAGUCACUGGUAUUCAUUAUGGUAGCCCAUGCAAAUGACAACAUACAGGUGUCCGUGGACGCAGAAUCCCACCACCUUCCUGCACGCAGAUGCGCCAUCACCCUGUAAUUGUGAUUCUUUUGGCCAAGGAAGAGUUCACCUAGCUUCUCAACUCCUACGUUGAUGUGAUCAUGUUGGCAGUAUCUUUCUCAUGAUUUCCAGAAGAAUGAUCCAUGGAUAAGCAUCUUCAUCAAGAAAUAGCAUCCAAAUACACGGGUGUUUAUUUUCACAGAAAGCCAUCACUUGCCCACAAGCAGUUCUCAUCACUUUCCUGACAAAGGAAUAUUAUAGAAACAAAGUUGAAAAAUACUUUGUCGUGUGAGGCAGCUUUGGUUCAGCUGCAGAGCUAAACUCUCACCUCAGAACUAAAUUGGAAUUGGCUGUGAAUGAUUACAAAUGAAAAUCUGUCACCGCUGAAGGGUCUCAUCUGCAACACGAGGUAAGAACAGGUAUUUUUUCAUAUUACUGUCUUCUAGCAGGUGGUUUAUGUAUCUGGGCUCCUGAAUGCUUUCCUGGGCCUUGUUAAAUUGAUUGCUUUUCUGGACUCCAUGGGAGAAAAAUCACUUGAAGAAGCUCUGAGCAGCACAGUGACAGGUUCCUGGAUAUACUCUUGCCUUUUUUUCUAACCCCUUUGAAUUUGCUCAGCAGAUUAAAAAAAGACACCACCAUUCUCCCAUUUGUCUAAACAUAUUCAGUCUCUUAAAUUAACUUCAGUCAUAUAUUUGUUUCAAAAUCUGGUUGAGUUUAAACUGCCAUUAAACCUUUAAUCAAAUUCUUUUCUCUUGAUUUAGUGUUACAAAGUACUUAUUCUGGCAUAUAGGAAUUAUAGAUGUAAUUGUAGCUUUCUCUAGAUCUCAGUCAUUAGCUCCACCCUAAGUUUUAUUCCUAUAUCCAUCCAGGAACAAAGAGAAUGCAAAACAUAACAUGAUAUCAGAACUACAAAGGAAAACAAAAUGCAUACUGAAAGGUGAAAGUAUCUUCCAGAGCUGCUAGAGACCUCCUAGCAAGCCCAGGAAGAAAGACAACACGUUUGCAAAGAGAAUAUUGGGAGAAAGUGAUUGGCAGUGAGAUAUCAACAGACACAGGCAAAGGCUGCAGAUCCCGUUAAUGUCAGUGAAGGAUCAAAGAUUUAACUGCAUGGCGAUGGCUAUACCAAGCUGGAGACUCAGCAGCGUUCCACCUUUUGGAGAUCAAUUUUCAUGGCCUUAAAAUUCCUGGAACAGUGCUUGUCAGCCAGUAACGAAGCCUGUCUGUGGACAGGCUCUCCCCAGGCAGGUUUUUCAAGAGGCUCAACCUGGGUCCAAGAAGAGGCCAUUGUGCCCCUCUGGCUUGUAUGUUCCUGUGACUAUAUGGAGAAGCCCCAGUCAUUCUCACUCUGUGCUAUAUGCUCACCUCCUGGUCUGGGAAAUCCAGUUAAAACCUUAAAUUAACUCUCUCUGUUGUCCUGGGGAUGUCAUGUGCCUCUUUUAUCACUGUGGGUGCACUCUUGUCCUAAAGUCCUUCUGGAAACAUGCAGGUGUACAGAAUCAAAGAUUGAUCUGUCAUCCCUGGGAAUCUGACCAUAUCACAGAGAAAUGGGCUUAAGGUCUUUCUUAAGUCCUAUCCUGAUACACAAGUAAAACCUUUAAACUCUCAGCA